rnacentral:lncRNA from 1 species
AAAAACAUAUUUAUUUUUAGAUCCUUUUUUAAAAUUGUUUCCAGCAGGCUGGAAGGGAAUAAAACCUAUCUAUGAGCCCAGCGUGCCUGGUGACCACACCAGCAGGGGAGGUGGGAUAGGUCACACACUGGGGAUGGACAAAGGGAAGUUUUAGCCCUGCCUCUAGAGAAGUAUCCAAGUGAGGAAACUGCGAGAGGGCCCAGAUGGGCACAGGAAGGUCAUUGUCAUGGCUGCACAGUGAAAGCCAGUCUCAGAACCCAUCUAUGCCAAGAGAGAUGGUGAGGUACCUGUACCAGCUGGAGGAACAGAUGAAACCGAAGAAAUGACGUGCUCCCCACAAUUAUACUGAUGUUCACCCAACCAUGAGUGACACUUUUAUCCUGCCCUUGCUACUCUGGGCUCCUGGCACAAGCGAGGUAGGAAAAUGAAAAAGGUGGAAAUAGGUAGCAUAAGAGGGAAAGACUUUUGAGAAUUGGAAGAAAGCCAGAGAGGGACUGGGAAGCACUGGCUAAGAGAGUAAUACAUCAAUUACAUUAAAGAGUCACCUAGUUGUGAGUAUGUUUUGAUUCAUAAUUUUCUAUCCCUGUUAAGUAGCAACAUUAUUUCCCAAAGAGAAAUAGAAUCUCAUAGGGAAGUUUAGUUUUCCUUUUCUUCUUUUUUUUUUUUUUUUUCUUUUUGGCUGCACACCCAGCAUGUGGAAGUUCCCAAAACUUUAUAAAAGGUCAAUAGAUGACAGUUUCACAAAUAGAAGUUCUGUUGUAUAGUAUGGUGUGUAGGUCACACAUGAAAAAUUAGUCAUUUUAAGAUGAAAAUUAAUAAACGAGGGUGUUCCCAGAAAAGGCUGAGAUGAUUUGUGUUAUUCUUACCCCAGGCAUAGGAGUGUUAACACUCCCCCAAAUGGUCUAACCAUACAACUAGUGUAUAUAAGGUAGAUGCAGGGAAGGGGGCAGGGAUGUGUUUCUCAGGAAAGGAUGGCAAGCCAGGGUCUAUGGUGAAUAAGGAGAAAUCUAAGCCAUAUGCUAAACCAACCUUGCUAUGGAAAAGCCAGAGGAGUGGGUUUCCCACUGUAAGUUGUUGUGAUGCAAGAUUCUUUUGGGAUACUGCCUAAGUGUGUAAGGGAAAAGAUAUAGGUGAAAAUAAUCCUAUACAAGCUUAAGAGCUGACUAGGACAAUGUAUUUCAUAGUGGCAUGAGGUAAGAUGAGGCUUUCUGCAGGUAUUCGAUUUUUGUGUUGAGUUUGUAUUAUUACACAAUGAGUUGGUCUGGGAAAUUCAAAGUUAUGAAGAUAAAAUCUUGUCCUCAAGUGAUUUACAGUUUAGUAAAUUAGGCGUAUUAAUGACUACACAAAUAAAUUGCUCUGUCAUGAAAGAAACAUGUUGCCUGUAUACAGAAUAGACUCAAAAGAGAGAUGGGGGCGGGGAACCAGAAAAGUUUCUCAAACGAAGAUAUGCUGGAAUUGAGUCUGGGAGGAUGAAUGUAUUUCUUCCAAAUGGACUAGGGAAGGGCCCCGUAGGGAGGAGGACUCCAUGAUGUUCCACAAUGGAAGACAUUGUCAGGAAAUAGCCUGGCAAAUCUGAAAUGCCAGGAACUCAGUGCUACUGGACUAAAAGAAAGGAUAUCAUGAGAAAUAAAAGUUGUAAAGCUAUAUGUCCUAGAUCAUGAAGAACUGUAACAGGAUGCUAAUGUGUUCUGCCAGUUUCUCAUAGAGAGUAGGGAACCAGUGAAGAUUUUUCUAAGCCCCAGAAUGGAAAAUCACACUCGCAAAGGUUUGAAGAAGAAGUGGAAGGAAAAAAGAGCAAAGACAGAGAGACUUUUUUGAGACUGGAUCAAUGAUCCCUGGAAGGAAUGAAGAGGUCCUGAAGGUAAGCACUAGUGGAGAUAACGCUGGAGAGAAAUAGCAUUAAUAGAUUUUGGCCACCUUCUGCUUUGGGGUAGGAAGGAGGAUAAAUUCGUCUUGACUGGAUCUCAGGUUUCUGCAAGAACAUUUACCAAGGACAGGAAAACAGGGUGGGAGACAUUUCAGUACAUUUAGCUGAGCUCAGUUUUAGACAUGUUGACUUUAGGGUGUCUGGGGUCACCCAAGUGGCCAUGUUCCAUAGGCACUAGGCUGUAUAGGUCUGAACUUAGAAAAGAACUAAUUACUGAUUCUGUUUUCAAGCAUAUCAAUAGCAGCUGAAUCACUGGGUUAAGUGUUUAAUGAGAAAUAUUAUUGUGCAAUGAUAUGUUGUACAUGUUGUGCAAUGAGAGGAAGGAGUGUGCAAAGUUUUAGGUUAUGUCAACAUUAAACACAUUCAUGGAAGGCCAACAGUCAGGAGAAGUGAUUAGAAGAAAAACUUGGAGAGAGCAAAGGAAAACAUAUGUGAUAUAUGUAGCAGAAGCCAAGGAAUCAGAGUUUCCAGAAGACAGAAAAAUGCAAUUUUGUGGCAGAGAAGUCAAAACAAGUUGAGGACUUGACUACUGCAGAUUGAAUUUUUGACCGAGUUGCCAGGGCAGAAAUAAUAUUGCAAUAAGUAGAGCAGGAAUGCCAGGUGAAAAAGGAACACAUUUGAACAUAAAUGAUUAAUUUUAGGAAUGGGACUAAGAUUAAUUUUAAAGAGGAGCCAUCACUCUUCAACACUAAAGAAAAGAAGUGAUGGUGGGUUCAACUAUAGCUAAAUAUGAGUGUGGAAACAGAAAACCUUGGAUGACCCUAUUUUUCUCAGAAAAGGAGGAGGCAAGGGGGAUGCGGCUGGGAAAUAGUGCAAGUAGCUGGAGGAGGGUAGUUGCCCCCGACACCUGCACUCAAUUGAAUGUAUUGAAGGCAUCACAUGCUCACCCUAUAGAAAAUCUAACUCACGAUCACCCUGACAGCCUUGACUGCUCUUUUUAGCUCUAAAUCCAUAGAUUUCAAUAUGUACUCUAAGUGGUUAGCUCACAGAUAGCUUGAAACCUAGAACUCUGCCUUGUCAAAUCUUCUCUCUCAUCCUUCCAAAGCCAGGGUCUCUCUUACCUGAUUUUGCCAUGCACAUACCUCCAAAAUCUCUUAUUUGUGCUUUGUCUUUCCAUCCAAAGCUUCUGUCAUUUCUUAUCUAUACACUGCAGUAUCCACCAGCAUGUAAGCUACUUGGAAACUGAGACACUGCCUGUUAACUAUUGUCUUGUUAACCAUUCUAUUCCCUAGAAGAUUUGCUGGGGCUGGCGCUUAGUAAAUACGAAACACAUAUUGAUUAAAUGAAUCAAAGAAUAGCUUUCUAACUGAUUUCCUUGGCCUCCCAUCUUUCUCUAUGUGUAUUCCUUUCUCUGAACCCUGGCUACUCAGAGCACAGUUGCUGGACCCAGAGUAGCUGAGUCAUCUAGGAAUUUGUUGGAAAUGCAGGUUCCCAGGCCCCACCCUGCUGGGAGCCGAGUUUCAAGAAGAGAAUUUUCAAGAAGAGAAUCUGCCUGAUGACAAAGUCCAGGGGAUUCUGAAGAAAGGCCGCAGAGCAGCACGUCCGCCAGCACACAGAAAGCAUGAGGCUGUAAUGCCUAGGAAAACAUGUUUCUAAAUCUCUGUCCUUCCUGUUUUUAACAAUUACUCUGUGCUCUGUUUACCGUGCCUUAACUCCUCAGUCCUUGCCUUAAAGAAAAAACUUAUUAACUUGUUAUCUAAAUCUUGCAAGUCAUUCUUGCUUGCUAAAUGUUUGGGAAAUUAACUCUUCGUUAUCUACACCUAAAUUCCGUGAGUUUUUAGAAAGAUUCCUUUUCCUUCUAAGAGAAUCAUAGAUAACAAUGGUAUUUACUACUUGUAGUUUUAGAAGAAAUUAAGUUUUAUAGAUAUAGUUUGAAGCAUUUAGAGUUGUUAAUUAGUUCGAUAAAUUGUUUUUCUUUGGCUGAUUUAUUAAUCUAUAAAGAGAAAAUAGGCGUAAAGACCUAUUGCUGAUUGUUAAAUAUCAGUUAGUGUUACAGGUUGUGGUUGUUGAGUUACUAACCAAGCACCUGCCCUAAAAACACAACGCAUUUGGGGUAAUCACAAAGGUCACGAGAAGUCUUACACCUCUGACAUUUGUGGCCAGUGUGAUCUAUUAGUCCUACCAGGUUAUCUUUUAAUGGGUUUAGAGCAUACCCUGCCUGGAUAACGUGCUUCUUAAUCUUUAACUCUUAUUGCUUCUGCAAGUUAUAGUCUCCUCUCCUAUUUAAGUCACUGCUAUCCACUGAUAAAGUUGAGACUGCGUGAACACUACUCGAGAGUGUGCGUCUCCAUUAUUCCUGCGCCUGCCGCCCCCUCCUCUUCGGGAACAUCCCUGGCUGCUGGGGCUGGACUCUGGCACACCCCCAGACACACUGAAUCAGAAUCUGCAUUUAACAUCUGUAGGUGAUUUGUAGGCAUGUAGAAUCGGAAAAGCUCUCAGGCCCUUAAUGCUCUAUACAGCAUUCAGAGAGAUUUUUCAAAAUGCACAUAUAAUCAUGUCACCUACUCUUUUCUUAAAAACAUUUCAGUGGCUGCCCUUGCUAAAAACUAAAAUCAAAUCAUUGAUAUAUUUGAGAAGACACUGUUUGGCUUUGUUUCACCCGUCCCUACCUCCCCACCAAUUGCCUUUCCUAACUGGGCCUCUUUCAGCCACUCUGGCCCUCUCAGACACCUGAGCACACCUUCCUCCUUCCCACCACAGGGCCUUGGCUCCUGCUGUUUCUUUUGCUUUGCUCACUUCUGUUCUCACCCCCCGACAAUACUUUUCACCUCCAUAACUCUUUCUCAUAUUUCAAAUCUCAUGUCAACUUAAUUUUCAUUCAAUAGAGCCUUCUUACUGACCCUCUCUAUGGUUGCAAAGACCAUUUUUCUUUCCUAUGUGGUAUUUAACAGUUAUAAUACUUUAUUAUUAUUACUUUUUGGUAUAUUAGUAUUGUUAGAUUAAGGGCUGGCUCCACAAUUGAGUGUGAGGUGCUUGAAGGCAGAAAAACAAACAACAAACAAAAAGUCAUAAAUAUACAAAGUGUCUGUUUGGUUCACAGUAAUAUCUCAAUUGCCCAGCAUAGUGUUCAUGAUUGAUAUGUGUUUAAAGGCAAAAUGAAAGCGAGGAAGAAAGAAUGAAUUUAUUUUUCACAAUGAAGUCACUAAGGAAUAUGGUAAGACUUGGAGAAAGAGAGAAAAUGGAAUAGUUAUACAUUUCUGAAUUAAUAAGUGGCAACGGUCAGGAAGAUGUAUAUAAAAACUUUCAGAGGGAGAUAUUACAAGAUUUAUUAAUGAUCUAACCAGGGAAAAGGAAAAAUAAAAGUGCCGUUAAACCACUGAGAAAAAAAAUAUUCAUUAAAGUUUAAAAAGUAACUGAGUAACUGAUUUUAAUAUUGUUAAAAAGAGUAAUCCUGCUUUUUCUUUGAGUUUACUAAACCAGACAGUAGAGAUUUUUCCAAUCAGUAUUUUGAAUUUUUUUUAACCAUCUUAAAAAGCAGAUAUGAGUUAAUUUCCUCAUCAGAACAUGGGGAUGAUGAAUCUCAAAGGAAAAAAGUAACUUCUCCAGGUCAUGUAACUGAUGUGAGCUUAAGGUUGCUUGAAUCCAAAGCAAAAUUAUUUUUUACCAUAUUAUGCUUAUCUCUAUGAACAAAUAUUAUUUAUAUAAUACGGUUUCAUCAUUGACAGAUUUUGUCUUUAUACUAAAGAAAAACAUUUGAAUAAAAUAAUAAAUGUCCAUAAAACUUCUUUUUUUGUUAGAAAUUUAAAAAAAUGCAAGGUGUGCUCUUUCACAAAUAAAAUUUCAUAUAUUGUCAGUAAAGCUUGUAUCAACAGAGAGCAGAUUAAAUAACAAAAAGAUCCACCAGUUCCUUCAUCAGCAUUAUCUAGCCUUACAGUCAAAGGCUACAAUGUGAGACAAUAUUUUACCUGGAAAAAAACUGCACAAAAUUUGAAAAAUUGUCAGAGGUUCAUAUAUGUAUAUUUGGGAUUAUUUUCUUUGCUUUUGGAAAAACUGAAUAUGUGUAAUAAGCAGGACAUUUGCAAGCCAAAAAUCCAGUCUCCAAAUUAAUUAACGAGGACAGAAGUAAUCAGAUAGCAAUGUCUAUCCCGAGGUAUCUCUUCAUGCUCCUUCUAAAAGUAACAGGACUCCAAUAGACAAAGGCUGACUUUUGAAUCUAAUCUGCCAACGCCUUUCAGGACACAUUCCUUGUUGAUGUCAACUUAAAUUCCUAUUGCAGGAAGGACAGACUAAUAGAACAGAUUCCCAGAGCAGUGCUGAGGUUAACAAACAAACAAACAGCAAACAAAAAGUCAUAAAUAUACAACAUAAAGGAAAACGAAGACUGGUAAAACUAGCAUAGUAGUAAAACCCUUUUCUUUCUCAUUAAACGCAGAAAUGGCCUGAAUUUUUUUAAGGUGAAAAUUCUCAUUGUAAAUCCUUUUUUUUUUUUUCCUUACCAAAUAGGCCCUAGUAAUUUUGUCUUGUAAAUUGGACUGGAGGAUUGUAUGAGGUCUCCCAGAGAGAAACUGCUGCAAUGAUCACCACUCUCCUUCUCAGCAGGACCCCGGUGCUGCUAAGUGUGAUUUUCUUUUUCCUUCUCCAAACUGGAGAUGUUUUCCCAGCUGAUAGAAUUAAUGGGGGAGAAUUGUGAAGGAUGUGACACUAAUAAUC